rnacentral:rRNA from 1 species
UACGAAGGGGGCUAGCGUUGUUCGGAUUUACUGGGCGUAAAGCGCACGUAGGCGGAUCUUUAAGUCAGAGGUGAAAUCCCAAGGCUCAACCUUGGAACUGCCUUUGAUACUGGGGAUCUCGAGUUCGGGAGAGGUGAGUGGAACUGCGAGUGUAGAGGUGAAAUUCGUAGAUAUUCGCAAGAACACCAGUGGCGAAGGCGGCUCACUGGCCCGAUACUGACGCUGAGGUGCGAAAGCGUGGGGAGCAAACAGGGAUUAAGAA